rnacentral:rRNA from 1 species
GAAUAUUGGACAAUGGGGGCAACCCUGAUCCAGCCAUGCCGCGUGUGUGAAGAAGGCUUUCGGGUUGUAAAGCACUUUCAGUGAGGAGGAAAACCGUACGAUUAAUACUCGUAUGGCUUGACGUUACUCACAGAAGAAGCACCGGCUAACUCUGCGCCAGCAGCCGCGGUAAUACAGAGGGUGCGAGCGUUAAUCGGAAGUACUGGGCGUAAAGCGCACGUAGGCGGCUCUGCAAGUCGAGUGUGAAAUCCCCGGGCUCAACCUGGGAACUGCAUUCGAUACUGCAUUGCUAGAGUAUGGGAGAGGGAAGUGGAAUUUCCGGUGUAGCGGUGAAAUGCGUAGAUAUCGGAAGGAACACCAGUGGCGAAAGCGACUUCCUGGACCAAUACUGACGCUCAGGUGCGAAAGCGUGGGGAGCAAACAGG